rnacentral:tRNA from 1 species
GCCUGGCUGGCUCAGUUGGCUGGGCAUCUGACUUCAGCUCAGGUCAUGAUCUCACGGUUCAUGGGUUUGAGCCCUGUGUCGGGCU